AGAUAAAAAGAGACCGAAUACGAUUCCUGUAUUCGGUCCAGGGAAAUGGCUCCAGAGAAAGAGCCGUGCGCUAAAAGUUGGCAUUAAUGCAGGCUUAGUCGCCGUGCUUAAUAAUAAUAGUUGACCAUACCAGGUUUUCCAGUCU
rnacentral:sRNA from 1 species